CUAGUGUCUUCCUGGGUUUUUUCUUCACAUAGGCCUCCCACUUGAGAAGUUCUGUUGUUGCUCAUUCAAACUCUGGAGUGAGCACUUCAAGACAGGACGGUUCAGAUUGCCAGGAUUAGAGACAAUGUUAAAAUGCAAAUAUGCUUCAGUGAAUGUAAAGCAAUUUAAUCCUUGCUCAACUAUUUAGCAGAACCAGUUGUCAUAGCUCAACACUUCAAUUUGUAGAGUGCAUGAUGGAGUUCAGGUCAUAUUUAAAUUUGUAGCAAAACAGGAUGAUUAAUCUGACUCAUCGUAGUACUUGGUAAAAUCACAGAUCUUCAAAAGAUUUACAUAAACUCCUGUAAMAAAGUAAAUGUACUUAUUAUACAUCGCUGCAAAUCCCAUGACAUUAUAAAAGUGUAGAAGUAAGGGGUUUCUGGCACAUUUAUGCAUCUUUUGUUUCCUAAAUGUGGCCAUGAUUUUGUUAUAGUUUGCGUGAAAAUGUCUUUCAAUACUGAAAGUUUGCCAGCAGGGGGGGCUGUGUACACAGAAUUAACUCCCAAACAUUUAAAUGAGACACAGAGGAAGUGAAACUGAUUGAAUAGCUUUAUCUAACAUGAGCUAUAAGCCAAUCUGUAUUUGGGCCAAACACUUUCCAACAAAAAUAAACAGGGUCUAAUACUUCCUGAGCUGCUUCCUGAUGCCUUAAAAGGUGUUUUAGUUGUGCCGGUGUAACAAGUGGACAUCUGGACAGCUUUAUUGUUUCAACACUAAAUACAACUUUUCCUUUUCUGUGAGAAUGUGCAUUAAAAAAAUAUGUGAUGCCAGACAAGUAKAGUGCACACUAACUUAGGCAGUUAGUCUAUUUAUUACAUUAUAAUAAACAGACUGCCAAAUUAUAUUACAUACUAUUUAUUAUAUUGCAAAUUAUGACAUAUUUCUCAUUUAAUAUUCAUCAAUUUGCCAAUAAAAGUUCUAGUGGAUAGUUGCAGUACAGCUCAGAGACCAAGCAUCAGGAGUGUGCAGUCAAAAAAAAAUAAAAGAAWAUGCAACGAGUGAAUAAUAGAACACCUUUACACUUAAAACUUUUCAGAGGUGGAUAACUGAUCCACUUUAUUUGAUUGGUCUGAACUCUCGUAAUAGCCUACUAAGAGACAUUGUGCGAUACAAACAUUGCAUUUCAACAUCAUAGGAUACAAGGGGUUUCAAGUCUCAAUUUUAAAAAUAAAAAUAAAAGUCAACAUUUUGUUUAGUGAAGAGCUGAAAAAAUGCUCCAAUUUUAUUGAUCUUUUUUCUGCUUCAUGUCGGAUUCCUUAAGGAUUCAAGUUUGUAAAAGUUUUUUUUUUUCUUGUUAUGUCUGUAAACACAACAUCCCGUCGGAACGGGGCGAACAAAACUGACAAAGUCUAAAUCCGAGCACGUGCUAGGACAAAAAUAUGCAAAUCAAAAUCAAAACGUAGCGAGGAUAAAAGCACGUUUAGAGCAGAAAGAACCUGUUAACUGAGCAUUGUCAAAGUUAGAAUAUGGUAUUUUUGUCACAUGUCAGAAAGAAAAGACGAUUUUGAGAGCAAAGCUGAUGCAGUUUAUGAUGCUGACCUAUUAAAAAGCGAUACGCUGACCGACACGUUGAAAGCAGAGAUUACGUGAUCGAGGCCUUGAAUCACCAAAGUCCUAAACAUUUAAUGGUACCAUGCACUUAAAACGGUAACUCUGAUGCAUGUCGACGAUAAAAAAUAUAAUGUACCAGCGGUAAGAAAAGACAGGAAGAUAAAAACCAUACAGUAUUUUUUUUUCUUUGUCUUUAUGUGAGAGGUGGGAAAAAUAAAAGCAUAUCUUCGUAUAGUCCUGGGCUGGAGGUUGAAUAAGUUACACAGCAGGUAGGAUGCUUUCUCUUGUCGAAAAGCCACAAAAAAA